rnacentral:rRNA from 1 species
AUUGAACGCUGGCGGCAGGCUUAACACAUGCAAGUCGAGCGGGGUGAUGGUGCUUGCACUAUCACUUAGCGGCGGACGGGUGAGUAAUGCUUAGGAAUCUGCCUAUUAGUGGGGGACAACAUCUCGAAAGGGAUGCUAAUACCGCAUACGUCCUACGGGAGAAAGCAGGGGAUCACUUGUGACCUUGCGCUAAUAGAUGAGCCUAAGUCGGAUUAGCUAGUUGGUGGGGUAAAGGCCUACCAAGGCGACGAUCUGUAGCGGGUCUGAGAGGAUGAUCCGCCACACUGGGACUGAGACACGGCCCAGACUCCUACGGGAGGCAGCAGUGGGGAAUAUUGGACAAUGGGGGGAACCCUGAUCCAGCCACGCCGCGUGUGUGAAGAAGGCCUUAUGGUUGUAAAGCACUUUAAGCGAGGAGGAGGCUCUUUUGGUUAAUACCCAAGAUGAGUGGACGUUACACGCAGAAUAAGCACCGGCUAACUCUGUGCCAGCCGCCGCGGUAA